rnacentral:lncRNA from 1 species
UAGAACAGUAAAAUUUUGAACUUUUUCUUGAAAUAAAGAUCGUUCGUUUAAAUAAGUACUAAGCACAACCAGAGGUAAAAUUUAAACUUCACUAAGUAAACAUUCAAAAGAUGCCAUUUUCGCAUGGCUUAUAUACAUUAACCAAAGAUAUUCUUCCGCCACUAGUCUAUUCUAUACAUGCCAUAAGAUAAUCCAAAACGUAGCAGUACCAAACAAUGGAUAGUGAUAGUGUGACUAGUUGCUGAUGAUCCCCGAGCUUGUAGCUUCCAAAUGAGAUCUAUAAAACAGAGCAAACAGAGUAAACGGAGUAAGCAUUACAAUGCUUAGUAAGUUUUAAGCAGUGUCAACAGAUAACAAUCAAAUUAUAACAUAGUUGUUCGUAUAGUUUAUUUCACUCUUCCUUCGGGCAUACCAUCCCUUUUUCCGAAUAUGCACAUCUCAUCAUAUACAAUAGGCAGAUAAACUUUCAUAUAAAAGUGAGCUCAUGUGACAUAGAUAUAUCGUAUGAUUUCACAUAACCUCUCACACUGAUCCGAUGUCACAUAAUCAUAGGAAUAGUCUCAUAGAUUGCUCUCUAUGCAUCACAUAACUACCUUAUGAUUUAGUGCAAAUCAAGCUCACAUAUAAACUUGGAGUACAUACUUGUUUAACCUUUCGCAUUGAAUAUAUUUAUAAGCAAUUCUUAUUACGAAGUCUUACCCGGACAUAAUCUCCACACGAAAUUAUCGGGUCUUACCCGGACAAAAUCCCCACACGUAGUCAUCGGGUCUUUAGAGCUCAGAUAUAGUACGAGCACGAAGCUUACGGACAUUAAUCAGUGAUAAUAUUCUCGCAUAAAGCCUGCGGGGUUUUAACCCGGAUAUAGUGCUGACACAAAUGCCCUUCGGGACGUAUCACAUUUAUACACUUUCACAUCCAUCACGUUGGCCACUCGGCCCUGUCACAUAUAUACACUUUCACAUUCAUCACAUCGGCCAUUAGGCCUUAUCACAUAUAUACACUUUCACAUUCAUCACAUCGGCCAUUAGGCCUUAUCACAUAUAUACACUUUCACAUUCAUCACAUCGGCCAUUAGGCCUUAUCACAUAUAUAUACACUUUCACAUUCAUCACAUCGGCCAUUAGGCCUUAUCACAUAUAUACACUUUCACAUUACCAACCCUUUUAUUCAUACACAAAGAUCAACUUAGCCAAAGGCCGGUAGCUCAUUUAUCAACUGAGCGAAUACUUAUUUGUAAGGGCUCAACUAAUUCAAAGCACAUACGAAACAUACCUCAAUGUUUGGAUGUUUCAAGCGUAUUAACUAAAAUUUUUACAGCAAGAUCAUUCAUUCCCAAAUCACAUACCUUCGGAAUUUAACCGGAUAUAGCUACUCGUUCAAAUGCCUUUGGGACAUAGCCCGGUUAUAGUAACUCGCACAAAUUCCUUCGGGACUUAACCCGGAUUUAGUAACUAGCACAAAUGCCUUCGGGCUUAGCCCGGAAUUAGUAUCUCGCACAAAUGCCUUCGGAUCUUAGUCCGGAUUUAGUAUCUCGCACAAAUGCCUUCGGAUCUUAGUCCGGAUAUGGUCACUUAGCACAAAGCCUUCGGGACUUAGCCCAGACAUCAUUCAAAUAACCAUGCACAUUUAACAAUAAAUCAUGGCACAUUCGUAUUUCAUUUUCGUUAGCAAAACUCAAACACAAGACACUUAUCAUUCUUGCAAUUUCGGCUCAAUAGCCACACACAAAGAGCAUGAUUUUGAUUUGCUUAAAACAUGAUCUAAUCAAAUCAUAAUUUAAGCUCUAUUACUCAAGAACUUACAAUAUCACGAUUUAGAAUUCAAGUAUGGGUUUAAUCAAUAGCUUGUGAGCAACUAAAACAAGUUUAUCAAGGUUCACAACAUAAUCUCAAAUUCAGCACAAGCUGUUUUUCCUGAGCAAUAGUCACUAAAUUAUUUAUAACUAGAGCUAAAAAACUCCAAAUCACUUUCCGUUAAUUUUUCCUGAAUAUAGACUCGUAUAUCUUCCACCCAUAAAAUUUCCAGAAUUUUAGGUUUGGCCAAUCAAUACCAGAUUUUUCUUAAAGUUUCCCCUGUUUCACUGUUUGACUAAUCUAACCACUCUUCACUACGAAUCAAAUUUCUCAUUUUACAGAAUUCAAAAUGUGUUUUAUUUGAUUCCAUUUGAAACUAGACUCAUUAAUGAGUCUAAGCAUAUAAAUUUUAUCUUAUAAACAUUUUUUUACAAUUUAUAAUGAUUUUCUAAAAACAGAACAGGGGAUUUCGGAGUCAUUCUGACACCGUCUCACACAACUUUAAAUAUCUCAUUAUCGGAAAUUCCUUUGCUUACACGGUUUCUUUUAUAAGAAACUAGACUCAUUAAGCUUUAAUUUCAUGUCUCAUUCAGCCUCUAAUUCAAGUCCAUAAAUUUAUGGUGAUUUUCUAAAGUCACGUUACUGCUGCUGUCCGAAGCAGACUAUUUCAAAUUACCCUUAAAUUCCCAAGCUCAAACACUUAAGAACUUACCAUUUGAGCUUAGAACAUAUCAUGGCCACAUCAUAUCUUAUUAAAUCAACUCAUCAUGUCCUAUUAUAAUUGAAUUUACUCAACGUUUAAACACUUAAAACUUACCUUGGAUGUGGUCGAACAAUUUCGGCAGCUAUUCGAUCACUUCUUCCCUUCCCUUAUCCAACUUUGGUCCUCUAAGCUCUUGAGCUUAAUUUAACAAAUAAAUUGAUUUAAUCAUUUGAGCAUCAAAAGAGGAACUCAAGGUACUUAGCCCAUAUAUACAUACAUUAGACAUUAAAGUCACAUACAUAUGAAAUCAUAAAUCAAUUCAACAUAUUAGCCCACACUCUCUUUUAGCCGAUUGUCUAAGCCAAGAUAAAAGCAUCAAUAUGCUUGCCUCUAGCCGAAUACAUGCAACACCAAGCAAGAAUGAUGCAUCCAUGGCCGAGUAUCAUCUUCAUAACUUUACAAAAACAUUUGCCAUGAGCUAGCUUCUAUACUUGGUGGCCACUCCAAAUAUACAAAGAUUUUCAAUGAUAGAGCAUUAACAUACCUUAAUACAUCAAAAUAAUUAAAUUCUUCCCAUGGCACACUAAAACCGAAUAUGUCUUAUUCAAAUAUAAAUUCUCAUAUUUCAUUUAUUUAACCAUUUAACCCUCCUAUCAAAUAAUUUUCACAAACUAAUCUUAAACUCAAAAUCACAUAAAAUCGUAACACAAAAGGCAUUCAUCUAACACUUGAUUUCUAAAUUCUAACAUCAAACUCAAAUUUCUUAGCUCAUCAACUCAUGGCCGAACAUCAAUUAUUCACCAAAACAAAAAUUAACUCAUGGGUUUUAGAGAAAAUUAAGUAAGGAAUUCAAUGAUACUAAAAAUUAACAAAAACAACCUGAAUUUCACCUUGAAUUUUUGCUUCCAAAUGGCCGAAACUUCAAAGCCACAAAUUUUAUUUUCUUUCUCCUUUGUUCGGCCUCCAAGAUGAACUACAUGCAUGUUCUUUUUUUCUUUUUUUUUAUGCCCCAUACCGUCCAUAUCAAUUGUCUAAGGUUAAAUAUCAUCACAAAUACUCCAACUUACAAAAACAACUUCAAUUCGGCCCUGAAGAUACAAACAUGCAUGGCUUUCCAUUUUAUGUUUUAUAAUACUUAUUUUUAUGUUUUAUAAUACUUAUAAAAAUAAUUAUCUCACAAAUAACUUUAAAAUAAACAUAUAAAGACAUCAUGCAUUAAGCCAUUACCAUCCAUAUAUUUAUUAAUGAUAUAAUUGCCAUUCAAAACCUCAAUAUUCUAAAGACAUAACACUUUAACAUUUUCAUGAUAGCAUGCUUAUUAAUCAAUUGAUGCAUUUUAAUCCUUUUUAAUGACAUAAAGAAAGAAAGAAAAAUAUUUACCAAGAGUUUCAAACUACUUGGCCGAAUAUCAAACCUCCAAACAACCAAAAAAUUUAACUCAUGGAAUGGAUAGAAUUUGAACAAAUCACCAAAAUUAUAUAUAAAUUUUCAAGAAUUUCAAAGUACUUACCUCUUUCUAAAUAUUCUCCAAGCCGAAAUCAUACAAAGAAAUUUUUUUCUUCCUUCUAAUCUCAAGUUACGGCAAUGGUAGAGUGAGGAUGAACCAACUUUGUUUUUAUCACCCAUUUCUUUUAAUAUAAGUUCAUAUUUCAUAUUAUUUAUUCAUUUAACAUUUAAUUUAUUAAUAUAAAAGGCAUAUAUUUUGUAUCCCAUGCUCCUUAUUUUAUCAUACUUCCCAUGAAACACUAACUUAACAUGUUUAUGACAUGUUCUUGCCCAUCACACUUGGUCUACCAUACUUGUCAUGGCCGGCCACUACUAAUUAGGGGGGAAAUUGACAUGCAAGUCCCCCCUUUUUAUUUCAUGCACUAAUAGAUCCUUAUGCUUUGACCUAUCACAUUUCAAAAUUUUCUCACAUAAGUCCUAUUUGAUAAAAUUCACUUACUAUUAACAAAAUUCAAACAUGAAAUUUUCACACAUGCAUAUGUACAUAUAAUGAGCAUCAACUAUGACGGUUAAUUAUCUUUAUGACUCGGUUUAGUGGUCCCGAAACCACUUUCCGACUAGGGUCACUUUAGGGGUGUCACAGAUUAUGCUUAUUCCAAAGAUUAUUAAUCCUUCUAAUCUGACUCAUUUUCGGCCAAUUAGUCUCUGUAAUGUUAUUUAUAAACUUGUGGCAAAGGUGAUUGCAAAUAGAUUUAGAGGAGUCAUUGAUAAAUGUAUUGAUGAAGCACAUAAUGCAUUUGUGCUAAGGAAACUCAUAACAGAUAAUGCACUAGUGGCCUAUGAAGUUUUACAUUCAAUGAAACAGAAGAGAGGGGGGAAGAAGGGAUUUAUGGCCAUCAAGUUAGAUAUGAGUAAGGCCUACGACAAAGUAGAAUGGAAUUUUAUUCAAGAAAUUAUGAGUAGAAUGGGUUUUUCUCAAAAAUGGAUUGAAUCUAUUAUGAAAUGUAUCUUUAGUGUUUCUUAUUCAGUAGUGGUUAAUGGUAACAAAAGAGAUAUAUUCUAUCCAACAAGGGGACUUAGACAAGGAGAUCCAUUAAGCCCUUUUUUAUUUCUGAUAUGUGGAGAGGGUCUAUCAGGUCUAAUGCGAAUGGCUAUUAGCGAAGGAGUUAUAAAAGGUGUUAAAGCUAGUAGAAGUGGCCCCAGGGUGUCUCAUUUACUAUUUGCUGAUGACUGCAUAAUGUUUUAAGAAGCAACAAGAAGGGGAGUAAGAGCAAUCAAGCAGAUUUUGCGUGAAUAUAAAAAUAGUUCAGGUCAGUUCGUAAACUUUGAAAAAUCAGCAGUAUUUUUUAGCAACAACAUAUCUGUGGAAGUUAGGCAAAUAGUGAUCACCCAAUUGGGAAUCCACAGCUCCAAUGAAUUAGAAAGGUAUUUAGGACUGCCAAGUUUAGUUGGGAAAAGGAAAAAAGAAUCUUUUCAAGCAUUUAAGGACAAAAUGAAACAGCGGAUUGAUAAUUGGUGUAUGAGAUUACUGUCUCAAGGUGGAAAGGAAAUAUUUAUUAAAUCAGUUUUACAAGUGAUACCGACUUACUCAAUGGCUUAUUUUUUUAUUACUGAAGACAUUAUGUGAUGAAAUGGAAGGCAUUGUAGCCAAGUUUUGGUGGCAAAAGGGACGUGGAAAGAAAGGAAUUCAUUGGUGUUUAUGGAGAAAUAUGUGUUCUUUAAAAGAAGUUGGAGGUAUGGGUUUCCGAAUUUUUUGCCAAUUUAAUGUUGCGUUAUUAGCCAAGCAGGGCUGGAGCCUUAUUAAUAAUCCGAGUUCCUUAUUAGCCAGAGUUUUUAAAGCCAAAUAUUAUCCAUAAUCAAAUUUUUUAAACGCAUAGUUGGGUUAGUUACCUUCAUAUACCUAGAAGAGCAUUUAGGCAGCACGAGGGCUCAUUCAGGAUGGGUUGUGUUGGAAAGUCAGUCGAGGGACCGAGAUUGAUGUCUGGACUGAUUGCUGCAUUCCUGGAUGUGAAGCCAUUGGUAGACAAGGUAGAGAGACAAACAGUGAUGUCCUAUUAGUUUCGGAUUUAAUCAAUAAUACUAGUAGGACUUGGAAGCGAGACCUGAUCAAUAAUACCUUUCAAUCAGGCAUAGCGCAAAAAAUUUUGAAGAUUCCUUUGGCAGAGUCAGAACAUGUUGACUUUCAGGUGUGGAAAGAGGAACCUUCAAGGGAGUUCUCAGUAAGAAGCGCCUAUAAACUAUUACAUCAUUCUAGCUCGAAUCCUAAUAUUUAUCCAUUACAACCCAAAAUAAGAAACUUCUAUAGAAAAUUGUGGGAUUUACAGCUACCGGGUAAAAUAAAGAUACUAGUUUAGCGAAUUUCCUGGAACUACAUCCCUUCCCUAAUAAAUCUAAGAUCCAAGAAAGUAAUAGAGAAUGCUCUGUGCCCUCGGUGCAGACUCAAAGAGGAAGACAGUAACCAUAUCUUUAGAUUUUGUCCUGCAAUCAGUGAAAUAUGGAAUCUCAUUAAUCUCUCUUAGACCAUUGAUCAUGAUAAUCAAAGUUUCUAGAAGUGGCUUAUCUGGGUUUUUGAAAGGAGUACAAUGGAGCAAUGUCGGUCCUUUUGUUGUGCGCUAUGGUGCGUUUGGAGUUCCCGAAAUCAGCUUGUACAUGAAAAGAAAAUCAUACCAGUUAGGGAUUUAGCAAGGAAAGUCAGCAGUUACAUAGCAGAACUGGAAGGGAUCCGAAUGAAAACAUUUACCUCUUCUUCCAAAAGGGACAACAGUUAUACUAGGGCGACGGAGGGUACCACAGUUCAGUUUGAUGCCGUUUUUGACAAAAGAAAUGAUAGAUCUGCCUCAGGUAUAGUCGUUCGAGACUAGACAGGAGCUUUAAAAGCCUCAAAGUCAGUUAUACAUGAGGAUACCCCGACCCCGUUCGCAGCAGAAGCCCUCGCAGGAUUAGAUGCCAUUAAGUUAGUAAUAGAAAUGAGGUUAACAACAGUAACAAUAGAGAGGGACUCGAGAAUAGUCAUUCAAAAAUGUCAAUCGACAGAAAUUGAUAAGUCGGUCCUUGGGGUGAUUAUUUAUGACAUACAGACCAGAAAAUCCAGGGGUUCAAGACGUUACUUUCAAGUUUAUCCAUAGAACGAAUAACAUUCAAGCCCAUAAUCUAGCAAAAAAAGGGUUGGAGAGAAGGGAGGACUCAUACCUGGGAGGGAAGACGACAAUUCAUAGAGUUGCAGACUCAGAGGGAAGAUGGAGAGAAUCGCCAGAUUGAAGAUGAAUGGACAAGGAGUAGGGUGCAGUUAAGGGUAGCAAGGAAUUGAUAUCUUAGGGAACGACUAUCUGCAAAGGCAUGGCUGUUGGGACGUGAAAAGACGAGUAAAGAAUUAAAUGGCCAGGCUGUUAGAUGUGACUGGGAGAUUUUCUGUUGAUUUCCUUUUGUUUUUCUAUUUUUUUAUUCUUUAUUGUCUUUUAUCAUCAUUUCUGAGAAACGGGCUAGCUAUUAAGGAAGCCCAACUUAGUUUGUUUUGUUUGUUUGGCAGUCGGACUUAAGCCCAAAUGUUAAUUUGGGUAUUGGUUUUAUUCUAUUUGUAAAGAGCCC